UCAUGUAUUUUCCAAAGACAUCCUGCCAUAUGGUUUAAGUACAUGGUAAUGUUAUUUUAUUAUCGGAGCCCGGUUGCUGAGAUCAUGGCUAUCAGGUAAGUGUAGAGGUAAACCGUUGUAGAAGACCCGGGUUCGAUGCCGAAGAGUCCAACCAACAAGGACUUUAUGCAAAAGUUUUUUGCUCAAUAAGUAGCCCUAGUUCUGGUUUGCUAGCUCACUAAAAAAGCGUAGACCAAUCAGUUGAGGCUUUGGUCUCCCAAACCACAGCUCUCCGGUUCGAUUCUUCUUUCUAGAUAGAAUAAAGUAAGGAAUAUUCAUGGCCAGAUGGUUAACCUAGUUUUCCCCUUGUCCAGCAAGAUUGCCCAUAUGGUUUAUGGAGUGGGAUUGUUCCUCAGCACCAUCUCGCUAGGGUUCUUCCUCAGCAGCUUUCUGGUAUCGGUGGUGGACAGUGUCACCAGGGGCGGCGGCAGUGGCGGAUGGAUCGUCAAUAAUCUGAAUCGCAGCCGACUGGAUGAUUUCUACUGGCUGCUGGCGGUGGUGUCGUCUGUGAAUCUGGUGCUCUACCAUAUGGUUUAAGUACAUGGUAUGUUAUUUUAUUAUCGGAGCCCGGUUGCUGAGAUCAUGGCUAUCAGGUAAGUGUAGAGGUAAACCGUUGCAGAAGACCCGGGUUCGAUGCCGAAGAGUCCAACCAACAAAGACUUUAUGGUAAAGUUUUAUGCUCAAUAAGUAGCCCUAGUUCUGGUUUGCUAGCUCGCUAAAAAAGCUUAGACCAAUCAGUUGAGGCCCCAAACCACAGCUCUCGGGUUCGAUUCUUCUUUGUAGAUAGAAUAAAGUAAGGAAUAUUCAUGGCCAGAUGGUUAACCUAGUUUUCCCCUUGUCCAGCAAGAUUGCCCUUGUUUAAUGUGCAAAGUCGAUCGCCAUCAGCCAUGGAACACAAAAUAGCUGCAUAUGUUUGCUCUCCCAGAGUUUUUACUUCUCAUCUUUGCUAGCUUUCUCCAGGUGAAGUUUAAAAGUAAAUUACAUUUU
rnacentral:lncRNA from 1 species